rnacentral:tRNA from 1 species
GAGGAUAUAGCUCAGUGGUAAAGUGCAUGCUUAGCAUGCACGAGGUUCUGGGUUCAAUCCCCAGUACCUCCA